UACGUAGGGGGCAAGCGUUGUCCGGAUUUAUUGGGCGUAAAGGGCGUGUAGGCGGCCAUACAGGUCAGCUGUGAAAACUCGAGGCUCAACCUCGAGACGUCGGUUGAAACCGUAUGGCUAGAGUCCGGAAGAGGAGAGUGGAAUUCCCGGUGUAGCGGUGAAAUGCGCAGAUAUCGGGAAGAACACCCGUGGCGAAGGCGGCUCUCUGGGACGGUACUGACGCUGAGACGCGAAAGCGUGGGGAGCGAACAGG
rnacentral:rRNA from 1 species